CUCCUGAGAAACUGGUAGUGUCCGUGUAUGCCUGUAACCUCAUCGUGAAAGACCCCCAGAAUGGGGAGACCCUCACUCAAGUCUCAGGAUGACGAGACCCCCCAGGAACUCACACAAGACC
rnacentral:pre_miRNA from 14 species